rnacentral:sRNA from 2 species
CCCCAGACUAACGGACAUGAAAUGAUAUCCCAUCCUUCCGAUCCUGCGCGCUGAAUUUCGCCGUAGCCACAUUCAUCGCAGCCUUGUCGCAACCUCAUAGCACGCGGUGAAGUCAAUAUCUGCCCUGCCGCGCCGGAGGUAAGCGUGAUCACCUCCUUCAUCGCCUCUCCCUUUUGCGAGAGCAGGUCUGCGGCUCUUUUGCACUUGAACGGCAACCGUCCCCCCCCCCUCUCUCAGGGAAAGGGGGAGAAAGCGGACAAGUUAGUGCGUAGCUAGCCAUUUGCACGGCAUUGCGAAGAGCAAGGCCCCUUAGAGGGUAAUCCGAAGCAAGCAUGGCUACUCCAGAGGGUUUCCCUCACAGGACAUCAAGGCCGCAAAAAGGCCGACCACUCAGCCAGCAGGGAAUAUAGGAAUAUAGAUAAAACUAAACAACACAAUACAAAAGAGCAACCCUUUGGGGAGCCAUAAUCAGUCAAAUCAGCGUGGAUGAUACGGAUGUUUCUGCCUGGUUGCUCCGCUGCGACUUCCUCUUCUGUGGCAGCUUUGUCGCGCACGAGGCCGACGACUACUAGGUAGGCUUUCUGGGCAAAGCGGAUAGUUGGUGUAAACUUCAAAACUACAAGACGCA